rnacentral:rRNA from 1 species
UACGGAGGGUGCAAGCGUUAAUCGGAAUUACUGGGCGUAAAGCGCACGCAGGCGGUCUGUCAAGUCUGAUGUGAAAUACCCGGGCUCAACCUGGGAACUGCAUUCGAAACUGGCAGGCUGGAGUCUUGUAGAGGGAGGUGGAAUUCCAGGUGUAGCGGUGAAAUGCGUAGAGAUCUGGAGGAAUACCGGUGGCGAAGGCGCCCCCCUGGACAACAACUGACGCUCAGGUACGAAAGCGUGGGGAGCAAAUGGG